CAGAGUAGGACAAGCGCGUUAAGUGCCGGCGGAUGGGAGGUCGCCGCCGGACGAAGGGCUCAGCCCGCGGUGCUUGUCCGCAUCCGCUGC
rnacentral:ncRNA from 1 species